GGAACAGAGCUGCUUGUAGGCAGCCUGAAAUUGUUUCAGAAGUGACAGGAGGUGGGAGAGGAAACUUUCAAAGACCAGGAUGGGCAUUGGAGUCUGGCUUCAACCAGGGAUUUAGCUACUACUCGAAUCUUGUCAGAGAAAAAAAUGAAAGGGACUGCUGGACUGGUGACUGGUGCAUUUGUCUUCAAGAGAGAAGGACCAAAAUUCUGCUCGCUGCUGUGUAAAUGCAGAAUUAACAGAAGAUUCCUGUCCCCAAAAUCUUAUAAUUUAGGAGAAGUGUUAUGAACAAUGGAUGUUCAAAAGCUGCAGAUUAUGAUAAUGUGGUGCAAAUGUGGAUUUUUGCUGACCUUUGUGAGGAGGGAUGCCACAGUCUUGGUGAAUGAUCUUCGCAAAUGAUGCCUACAUGCAGAGAAAGAGAGGAUCCAAAUAAAAACUAAUGUGAGUCAACCAGCCAGACUACAAACUUUGCUGAUGUACUCCUGGCAGAUCAAACAUGGACAGAGAUUGAAGAAACAAGUAGGUGGUUCAGCUGGGUCACAGAUGAAAGAAGAAAAGUUUCAGGGAGGGCUGAGUUGAAAAAAUGUGAGGACGCAGGGAAAAUUGUGCAUGCUUUUAAAAAGACAAGAGCAGAGGUUGAGCAAGUAGAGAGAAUCUUAGAGCAAUAUGGAAAGAUUAAAGGUAAUAUACUUACCACGGUGAAAGACAUUGGAUGCAUUUGGAUGUUGAAGAGGAAGAAGAAAACUAGGAAUAGGGAACGAACAUGUAUUCAUUGGAUUGAUUGGCCCUUUGCUUAUAAAAACAAAGAAAAACAAACAAGCAGAAAUCCAAAACCAUUCACUUUUGUUUAUUGUGACAUAAACGUUUUGAAACAACUCCAAGAAGAUACUUUUUUGAAAUUCAGUAAAAGGGAUUUUUAUCUUCAUUUAUGGAAACCUGUGUUACAUUUUACAGAUCAGAAAGUUUCCUUAGUUGGAAAAUCACAUGUAUUGUUUUUCCUCUUACAUCAGCCUGGAAUUGAAAGAUGGAUUUUUUUUUCUGCCAGAAAGAGCAACAUCUGAUAGGCGACAUUAAGAACAAUGACCAUACUUAUAAACUCAUUUCUAUUUUCUUUCCUCAUGUAAACUUCACUAGCCUUAGGUAUAACUGUUAUUCUAUAUUUUCUCCUCUAUUAUAGCUGGAACAUUAUAAAAGAAAUAGUUGGAUAGGAUAAUAGGAUAUUGUCAAAGAUGCUACAAAGACC